CUGCCGGCGACCGGCGCACGGGUGAGUAACACGUAUGGAACCUGCCCUAUGCAGGGGGAUAAGCGGAAGAAAUUCCGUCUAAUACCGCGUAACAACCCGAGGAGGCAUCUCCUCGGGUUUAAAGGAAGCGAUUCCGGCUACGGAUGGUCAUGCGUCGCAUUAGCUAGUUGGCGGGGUAACGGCCCACCAAGGCGACGAUGCGUAGGGGUUCUGAGAGGAAGGUCCCCCACACUGGUACUGAGACACGGACCAGACUCCUACGGGAGGCAGCAG
rnacentral:rRNA from 1 species